UACUCGCGGUCCAAGUCGCAGCCAUCUUUAUUGGGUAUAAAACAUCCGUAGCUUGCUUAAUAAGUUUCUUGUGAAAUUUCAUAUCUCAAAUAUGAAGCGUGCAAGAAGUACUCUUGAGCUAGAGACUGGAAGACGUAAGAAGUACGUUUGGAGUAGCGGUAAAAUGUGUUAAUCCCAGACGGACUAACAACAGCGAAGGCAUCUUACGAGGACAGUUCUGACAGUAAGGGAUGAAGGCUAGGGGCGCGAA
rnacentral:rRNA from 1 species